UACGUAGGGGGCUAGCGUUGCUCGGAAUUACUGGGCGUAAAGGGAGCGUAGGCGGAUAGUUUAGUCAGAGGUGAAAGCCCAGGGCUCAACCCUGGAAUUGCCUUCGAUACUGGAUAUCUUGAGUUCGGGAGAGGUGAGUGGAAUGCCGAGUGUAGAGGUGAAAUUCGUAGAUAUUCGGCGGAACACCAGUGGCGAAGGCGACUCACUGGCCCGAUACCGACGCUCAGGCACGACAGCGUGGGGAGCAAACAGG
rnacentral:rRNA from 1 species